rnacentral:rRNA from 1 species
GGUUCCUACGGGAGGCAGCAGUGAGGAAUAUUGGUCAAUGGGCGAGAGCCUGAACCAGCCAAGUCGCGUGAGGGAAGACGGUCCUAUGGAUUGUAAACCUCUUUUGCCGGGGAGCAAAAAGCGGUACGCGUACCGCAUCGAGAGUACUCGGAGAAAAAGCAUCGGCUAACUCCGUGCCAGCAGCCGCGGUAAUACGGAGGAUGCGAGCGUUAUCCGGAUUUAUUGGGUUUAAAGGGUGCGCAGGCGGCGAGGUAAGUCAGCGGGAAAGUUUCGG